GAAGGGAAAGGAGGGGAAGGGCGGCGAGACGAUGCCGGCGGCCGGCUCGGAGGCGGAGGAGGGCAGCGGGGAGGGCGCGGGGCCCGGCGCCGGCCCUCCGGGCGAGCAGCCGGGGCCGUGCUCCCCGAAGCUGUGCGGAUACCUGCAGAAGCUGUCGGGCAAGGGUCCCCUGCGCGGCUUCCGCAGCCGCUGGUUCGUCUUCGACCCCCGCCGGUGCUACCUCUACUACUUCAAGGGGCCGCAGGAGGCGCUGCCCCUCGGGCACCUCGACAUCGCCUCCGCCUGCUUCAGCUACCACCAGCCCGAGGCCGGCGCUGCCGCCGGGGACGAGGGGGCCGCCUUCGAGGUGCACAGCCCCAGCGGCGCCGUCGCCGUGCUCAAGGCUGCAACUCGUCAGGAUAUGACCUACUGGCUUCAGGAGCUUCAACAGAAAAGGUGGGAAUAUUGUAACAACCUUGAUGCAGCAAAAAGGGACAGUCGAACUUCUCCUACACCAAGUGACUUUUCCAAAGGUCUGGUUGCCAAAGACAAUCCUGAUCUGAGUAUCCUAAGCCAAAAUGCUUCAGCAGAGAGAGCUAGAACAAUUCUAGCUGUGGAGACUUCUCCUACAGAGCUGGUGGGGGAACAAGCAGCAUCCCAGCCUGCACCAGUCCAACCAAGUGCCAUCAAUUUCUCACUUAAACAAUGGAGCACUGAAAUCAAAAAUUCAAUGUCAUCUUUAAGAAAAGGGAAUAACGAAAAUCGCAAGAGCAUAUUUUAUACCAGUGAAGAGUGGGAAUUGCUGGAUCCAACCCCAAAAGACUUGGAGGACUCGAUGGCCCUGGAAGAAAAGAGAAAAAACCUGGCAGAAGGAAAUAAAGGACUGACUAGUUCAGCUUUUCCAUUUGAUUUUGGCCGCAUUCCACAAAAACCAAGACGCCCUCUAAAAGACAUGAUUGGAUCAAGCAAAAACCGGAACAGCAGCGACUCCUCUCCAACUGAGUGGUGUUCUGGUAAUGGCAACAAACUAGUUUCUGAACUGCAACUGAAGUAUCAAAGCCAGCAAGAAGAAUUGGAAAAGCUGAAGAAAGAUCUUCUGAGCCAAAAGGAACUUGUGCGACUUCUGCAGCAAACAGUCCGAUCUUCCCAAUAUGAUAAAUACUUUGCAAGCCGUCUGUGUGAGGGAGUUCCCAAAGACAAAUUAGAGCUGUUACACCAAAAAGAUGACCAAAUUUUGGGUCUCAACAACCAGCUUGAAAAGUUAAAUCUGGAGAAAGAUAGUCUCCAGCAGGAAGUAAAGAAUCUGAAAUGUAAAGUCGGAGAACUCAAUGAGCGGCUGGGUAUGUUGAUGGAAACUAUUCAAGCUAAAGAUGAAGUGAUAAUGAAACUGUCUCAUCAACUCAGCGAAUGUGAGGACAAUACAUCCUCCCAAAGUGGCGCAGUAAAUUCUCCCGUGGCCACCUGUAUUAAUAAGGAACUACAGGAACUGGACAGACUAAAAGACAAUCUUCAGGGUUAUAAGACCCAGAACAAGUUUUUAAACAAGGAGAUUUUGGAACUUUCUGCUCUACGAAGAAAUGCAGAAGUGAGAGAGAGAGAAUGGCAGGCAAAGUAUACUAGCUUGGAAGCCAAACUCUGUCAGAUAGAAAGUAAGUACUUGAUCUUGCUUCAAGAAAUGAAAACUCCUGUUUGUUCUGAGGAGCAGAGCCCUGCUCGUGAGGUUAUUGCACAGUUACUAGAAGAUGCCCUGAAAGCAGAAACCAGCGAACAACCAGAACAAGCGUUUUUCAAACCAUACGUGGUCAGUGAAUAUGAUAUAUAUGGUUUCCAAACAGUCCCAGAAGAUGAUGAGGAAGAGAAACUAGUAGCAAAAUCACGAGCUUUGGACCUGAGAUCGCUUUCUCUUAGUGAAAAUCGGGAGAUCUCCACAGGGGUAAAAUGGGAAAACUAUCUUGCAAGUACAAUGAACAGAGAGAUGAUGCGCUGUGUGGAACUAAAGAACCUUAUUCGAUCUGGGAUUCCACAUGAACAUCGUUCCAAGAUAUGGAAAUGGUGUGUCAAUCUCCAUGUUAAAAAAUUCAAGGACAGCACAGUUCCUGGGUACUUCCAGACCUUGCUUCAGAAUGCCCUAGAAAAACAAAAUCCUGCAUCUAAACAGAUUGAAUUGGAUCUCUUGAGAACUUUGCCAAACAACAAACAUUAUUCUUCUCCAACAUCUGAAGGGAUCCAAAAGCUGCGAAAUGUGCUGCUGGCAUUUUCAUGGAGAAAUCCAGAUAUAGGUUAUUGCCAAGGGCUCAACAGAUUGGUAGCAAUUGCUCUUCUGUAUUUGGAACAGGAAGAUGCAUUUUGGUGUCUAGUAACAAUAGUGGAAGUUUUCAUGCCUCGUGAUUAUUAUACAAAGACACUGCUAGGAUCUCAGGUUGAUCAGCGAGUAUUCAAAGACUUAAUGAGUGAGAAACUUCCACGACUGCAUGCUCACUUUGAACAGUACAAAGUCGACUACACUCUUAUAACUUUCAACUGGUUUCUUGUGGUAUUUGUGGACAGUGUUGUUAGUGACAUCCUUUUUAAAAUAUGGGACUCAUUCCUAUAUGAGGGACCAAAGGUAAUAUUCCGAUUUGCCCUGGCACUCUUUAAGUACAAAGAAGAAGAAAUCUUAAAACUGCAAGAUUCUAUGUCCAUUUUCAAGUACCUUCGGUAUUUCACGCGUACUAUACUUGAUGCUAGGAAACUGACUGGUAUUGCGUUUGGAGACCUGAAUCCUUUUCCAUUACGUCAGAUCAGGAACAGAAGGACCUAUCACCUGGAGAAAGUACGUCUCGAACUAACUGAACUUGAAGCCAUUCGUGAGGAUUUCCUGCGUGAACGAGAGACCUGCGUAGAAAAAAGAGACCUUAUUAGUGAUGAUGAGGAGGAUAGUUGAAACUACUCAACAUAAACUUUUCUUUGGGAUCAUGACCAAAAUGGAAUAACUGUAGGUGCCGUCAGAACAAAUCCCUAGUAAAUCGGGUGUUUUUGUCUGAUAAUGUAAUUUUAGAGAGUAUAGAGGAACAAACAUGCAAAGUUGGCUUUGAAGCAUGAAGAUGUGAACUAUAGACAUUUUGCAUGCUGCUCCUUGACCUCACUGGAAGCAGAAUCCAUGUAGUGAUGAGGCUCUAAGAUUUCCCACACAUGAAGGCUGUGAAGUAUAUUCACUGAGAUAAUGCAAAGGAAGGGUGUGCUCUGCCUUGGAAGCUUUCCUCCUGGAAAAGAAGGUAAAAGGUUCAAUCACAAAGAAGUUAGUAGAAUGGUGUUUUUGUCAUGAUACCGUGCUGUAGAAGCCAUACUCCUCUACAAUUCUAUAUAUCUGACAGCCAACUCUGCGCUGUCAACAUGACUAGGUAGUCAGAGGAAGGACUAGACUGGUAAGCACAACUCGGGAAUGCAUGCUGAAG